UUUUUACCCAAACCCUCCCAUUUUUCGAGCGGGCCGUCAGGUCGGGCCGGGCCGAGUAGCCCAACCCAUGAUCACCUCUACAAUAUAAUGACCUCUAUGAUAUUUUUACCAUCAUAAUUAAAUAUUUUUAAAAAUGAGGACUGAAAAUCAACAACAUAUAAAGAAAAAAAAAAGAGAAAAGAACAUGGGGUUGUUUUGUAAGAAAAA
rnacentral:lncRNA from 1 species